CUAGUAAGGUAAGAUCACCUAACUUGCUCUCAGUUGUGCGCAGAAAAAUAUUCGAGUCGGUUGUCAGCUGUCAAACCUUUUUUCCAUAUUUAUUCAUUAAUAAGGACGUGUUGUUUUGUAUUCGAGACCAAAAAUGAUAGCAGACACAAUAAUAUCAGCAAUGGAGGCAUUUCAUACCAUCGAUUUUCCAAAGAGGCUAAUUUAAAAGAGAAAUGGAUAAAUGCAACGUGACGAGUUAACUGGAUGCCGUACAGCACUAAGCAGUCUUACAAAGGCCACCGAUACAUCAAACCUACGGCAGUUCCAAGAUUUAAAAUAAUGCAUAAUUUCUGUUUGUAUUUUGUAAAUAUAGAUUUAUACUAUUCUA